UACGAAGGGGGGCUAGCGUUGCUCGGAAUCACUGGGCGUAAAGGGCGCGUAGGCGGCCGUUUAAGUCGGGGGGUGAAAGCCUGUGGCUCAACCACAGAAUUGCCUUCGAUACUGGACGGCUUGAGUAUGGAAGAGGUAAGUGGAAUUGCGAGUGUAGAGGUGAAAUUCGUAGAUAUUCGCAGGAACACCAGUGGCGAAGGCGGCUUACUGGUCCAUAACUGACGCUGAGGUGCGAAAGCG
rnacentral:rRNA from 1 species